rnacentral:lncRNA from 1 species
UUCUAUAUGAGAGGAUGACUGUUCACUGAAUGUAUUGUGUUUGUAUUUCAUAAUGCACAUAGUCAAAUCAUUAUACUGUUCAUCUUAAACUUACACAAUGCCCUAUCCCAUUUCUAUCUCAAUAAAACUGGAGAAAUGGGAGUUGCCCUUGUGGCUCAGUGGUAAUGAACUGAACUAGUAUCCAUGAGGAUGCAGGUUUGAUCCCCGGCCUUGCUCAGUGGGUAAGGAUCUGGCAUGCCGUGAGCUGUGGUGUAGGUUGCAGAUGAGGCUCCAAUUUGACCCUGAGCCUGGGAACUUCCAUAUGCCAUGAGUUCGGCCCUAAAAAGAAAAAAAAAAACAAAGUGAUUUUACCUCCCCCCAUAUUAUUUAGCCAUAAAAAGAAGGAAAUCCUGGCAUUUGCAACGGCAUGGAUGAAGCCGAAGGACAUUAUGCUAAGUGAGGGAAGCCGUACACAGAAGACAGAUACGAAAUGAUCUCAAUUUUAUGUGGAAUCUGAAACAGCUGAACUCAUAGAACCAGAGGUGAGAGCAGUGGUUUCCAGAGAAGGGUAACUUGAUUAUGGUAAUUAUUUCACAAUGCAAGUGUGUGUUAAAGCAUCUCAUUGCACUCCUUUGAACAAUCACGUUGUACACUCCAAAUAUGUAAAUUUUAAUUUUUUUCAUAAUGCCUCAACAAAUCUGGGGAAAAAGUGAAAACUUCUUAUAAUUGAAAGACACUGUUAAGAGAGUGAAAAGGGAAGACACAGACUGGGGAAUAAAAAAAUGUUUGCAAAAUUCCUCUUUGAUAAAGGACUUGAAAGUUCCCUCUGUGGUGCAACAGGAUUGGUGGCAUCUCUGAAGCACCAGGGUACAGGUUCCAUCCCUGGCUGGGCACAGUGGGUUAAAGCAUCUGGUGUUGCUGCAGCUGCUGUGUAGGUCUUGACUGUGGCUCAGAUCUAAUUCCUGGCCUGGUAACUCCAUGUGCCAUAGAGUGGCCAAAAAAGGAAGAAACAACAAAAAAAGAGGACUUGCAGGUACAAUAAUAAAGAACUCUCACAAUUAACGAAAAAAAUAACAGUCUAAUUUUAAAAAUGGGCAAAUAGUUGAACAAACAUUCCAUCAAAGAAGAAAUACACAUGGAAAAAAGUACAGGAAAAAGUGUUUACGUUAUUAGUCAUUAGGAAAAUCCAAAUGCAAAACCACAAUGAGAUACCACUACACAACUAUUAGAAGGGCUUAAAUAAGAUAAAAUACUACAGGAGUUCUUGCUGUGGCGCAGUGGGAUUGGCAGCGUCUUGGGAGCACUGGGACGCAGGUUCAAUCCCCAGCCCAGCACAGUGGGUUAAGGAUCUGCGUUGCCGCAGCUGAGGCUUAGGUCACAACGGCACCUCGGAUCUGAUCUCUGGCCCGGGAACUCCAUAUGCCAUGGGACAGCCAAAAAUAAAAUAAAAUAAUAAAAAAUAAAAUCUACAAAGUCAUGGAACACCCAGAACACGCAUGCUUUCUUGGUAAGAAUGAAAGUGGUACAGCUCCUUUGGAAAACAGUUUUGGCAUUUUCUUAUAAAGUUAAAUAUACCCUUGACAUAUAACACAGAAUUCCCACUGCUAGCUGUUUGCCCAGGAGUAACAAAAACUAUGUUUACCCCAAAUAUGUACACAUUUAUGGUUUUAUUCAUAAUCACCCCAAAAGACAGAAAUAACUCAAACAUUCUUCAGUCCGUUCAUUGGUAAAUGAAUCUUCCACACAUCACCAAAAAAGACAGGAGUUCCCGUCGUGGCUCAGCAGAAAAUGAAUCUGACUAGCAUCCAUGAGGAUGCAGGUUCGAUCCCUGGCCUUGCUCAGUGGGUUAAGGAUUAGGCAUUGCAGGUGUAGGUCGCAGACACGGCCCGGGUCCCGAGAUAUUGUGGCUGUGGCAUAGGCUGGCAGUUACGGCUCCGAUUUGACCCCUAGCUUGGGAACCUCCUUAUGCCAUGGCUGCGGCCCUAAAAAGCAAAUAAAUAAAUAAAUACAGACAGAUACUACUGAUACCCACAAGAGCAUGAAUGAAUGCCAAAUGCAUUAUGUUCAGGGCAAGAAGCCAGAUUUAAAAAAUUUAUCUACUGUAUGAUUCCAUUUAUAUGAUAUUCUGGAAAAGGCAGAACUACCAGUGUAGCAAACACACUAAUGGUUGCCAGGGGCCUGAAGAGGGGGAGAGUAGUUGACCGCAAAGGGACACAGGGAUUUUUUUCAGGUAAGGGAAAUAUUCUGUAUUUUCAUUGUGGCGGUCACUACCUAGGGUGAAUUACCUGACUUGAAAAAACGUGCAGACCAUAAGAAUUUUUCAUUUUAUUUUUGGAAGAUUGUCCUGAAGUGCUUACACAGAUGUCAUCUGCCUUGCUAUUUAGAAAUUUUCUUCUUGUAGGUUAUCUGCACACAUAAAAAAUAAUUACUUCAAUUAAAAAUAAUUUCAUGGGAGUUCCCAUCGUGGCUCAGUGGUUAAUGAAUCUGACUAGCAUCCAUGAGGAUGCAGGUUUGAUCCCUGGCCUUGCUCAGUGGGUUAAGGAUCCAGCGUUGCCGUGAGCUGCCAGAGAUCGAACCCACAACCUCAUGGUUCCUAGUCAGAUUUGUUUCCGCUGCGCCACGACAGGAACUCCUGCCUUCACUGUUCACUGUCAAUUUUAGGAGAACUAUGUGGCAGGGUUCUAUCUAAGGUUCUGGUUAUCUCAUAACCAAAUGCCUUUCCUCUGGAUUUAAUGAUUUGUGUAUACAGUAAGUUUAAGGAAGGUUCCAGACUAACUUGUAAAAUAAACUCCCAUCAUUUGUGGCUAUUGAAAGAUCAAUCACAGUUUUCAGAAGGGAGGUAGUUCUCUCUGAUUUUCAGGUUGAUUGAUUGCUCAAGCAUUCUCCUUCAUAAACGUAUUCUUCCUCGUUUUCAGACCAGUUUGUGGUUGGGCAAAAAUAAAAUAGAGGUCUUCUUUCAGGCCAGCAGAGCUGUGGUUCUGUGGUAUGUUACACAUACCAAGAUCCCUUUUGUUUAUAUAUAUACGUACAUACUUUCUCGACCAUAAAAUACUUAGAUUUUAAGUUUAAAAGCUUUCUUAUUGUACCGUGCACUUUUUAAUGUAUUUAACACAAAUCAUAAGUUUGAAUGUUUUAGAGUCAAAAAAUAAGAAGGCUUUAUCGUUUCAAAUUAAGUAUAUGAAAACAGAGUGGCAUGAGGUUACAUGGUGAGCUGGGUGGAGAGGAAGCAAUGAUUUGAGGACCAAAACCACUUAUAUGCAGGAGACAGCAAUUAAGAGGCCAAGGAUAGGGAUGUUUUGAAAAUAUACUUAAAACAAGAUGAAAGAAGAUCUUUGGGGCUUUGAAAAUGCCCUAGGAAGAGAAUGAAAACAACGGCCUUCUCUUUUAUCAGUGUUCUGACUCAGACCUGCUACUAGAAAGACCUUGCUAAGUUGAAACAUACAUUAAAAAAUGUAUUAUAUUUCAACUAAUGUUCCUACAUGUGCAAAUUUCUUUUAAGGCCCCUAGAAGCAGUUGCAUAUAUGCACAGCCCAAAAGACUCUGAGUGGCACCCCAUUUUUUCUCCCACAAUUACUGGUGCACCUCUGGCCCAGAGGAACUUGGGCAACUCGGAAGCUCUCAAGCUUAGCAAGGAGAUGUCAAAACGAAGGCCACAAAGCCACACUUCCUCAAGGCAGCUUUCCCAGAACUUUCCUGCCCCCCUGUUAAGUCAGGUCUCUCUGCUGUAAGUUCUCCUAACACCGACACUUCUUUUCCAACACUCAGCAGCCUGUAAUUAUUCAUUUUGUGAUUACUCGGACACUUCUGCUUACUAAAGGGUAAGCUCUGUGGAGUUCCUGUUGUGGCUCAGCAGGUUAAGAACCUGACAGUGUCUUUGAGGAGGUAGGUUUGAUCCCUGACCUCGCUCAGUGGGCUGAGGAUCUGGUGUUGCCGAAAGGUACAGCAUAGGUCACACAUGGGACCUGGAUCCGGUGUUGCCAUGGCUGUGGCGCAGGCUGGCAGCUGCAGCUCCAAUUUAACCCCUGGCUUGGGAGCUUCCAUGUGCCACAGGUGGGGCUGUAAACAGAAAAAAAAAAAAAAAAUUAAAAAAAAAAAGAGAGGAAGCUUUAUGAGGGCAAGUCAUUGUGUUUAUGUUGCUUGCCUCUCCGUUUAGGGCAGUGCCUGGUGUCGUGUAUGUAGGCAGUAAAUCUUUUACUGCCUGAGUGAAAGUAGCAGUUCUUUGCCUUUCCCACGUUCUUCCUGACAUCAAUUGAAACAGGUGUGAGAGCGCCACGGGAGGGAAGCUCAGGGGUUCAGAAGGUUCUAAGCAGUUGAAGUGCCAGGGCUGGCAUAGAGAUAUGCAAAUAAGCCCACUGGGAAGAGGUCUAUACAUCAGAGGGGAAAAGGCUUUUCUGUUAAGAGGGCAGGCAUCCCUGACAAGGGCAUACACUUGAGUUUCCUGCCUGAUUUUGUGAUUCUGGGUUUGAAUAUUGUACAGUUUUUUUGUUUUUUUUUUUGUCUUUUUGCCAUUUCUUGGGCCACUCUCAUAGCAUAUGGAGGUUCCCAGGCUAGGGGUUCAAUCGGAGCUGUAGCCACCGGCUUACGCCAGAGCCACAGCAACGCGGGAUCCGAGUGACCUACACCACAGCUCACGACAACACCGGAUCAUUAACCCACUGAGCAAGGGCAGGGAUCGAACCCGAAACCUCAUGGUUCCUAGUCGGAUUCGUUAACCACUGCGCCACGACGGGAACUCCUGCAUAGGUUUGUAUUUUAAAUUCCUUUUCCUACCCACAUCCUCACUGUCUUAUUUCAAACUCCCAGGAAGGGUUGUGCAAUAGACACAUCAUGAAGAGGAGCUAUCACUGCAGGCUCUGAAUGAUUAUUUUAUGGAGGGUGGCUUUGUCACAUUAGGAAUGAACAUCUUUUUUCUCUUUAAAUUUUAUUCAUGU